rnacentral:lncRNA from 1 species
GUGUUUUGCUUUUUUGUUAGCGAGGCUGAUUAUAGUGGUCUGGAGACCUAGCCGCCACCUCCGACGACGGUGGAUUGGAUUCUGAUGAUGAUUCCGGUGACGAUAGAAGGCUCCUCCGGCGAUGCUUGAUUUCUGACUCGGCAACUACGAGCCGGUUCGAGGGAUUUGUGACUGAUGACCAAUUUCUCGAAGCUACUGUAUGGAGCAAAUCGCUUCUUCCUUCAACAGGUGUGCUUCAACUAGGGUUCACAUCAGCAACAUACAUUAAUCCAACUCUAUUGCUACCAAGUACAAAAUGUCCAUUUGGUGAUCAUAUACAGGACAACAGGAGAAGCCGCCGCGCUAGACAUUCAUGAUCAAGAAGAAGCUCGCGAAGGAGAACAAGCCCAUUGCUCUCGCUAGAUUCGUACGGUACAAAGCGUAAAACCAGGCUUGAGUUCUAAGGUGUUCUCUAUGAUGUCUUGAUUUUUGCUAAAGGCUAUGAAUUUGAUGAUGAAUCUGUUCGAUCACAUGUUUUCCAUGUACCUUGAAUUAUG